rnacentral:rRNA from 1 species
UGGGGAAUUUUGCGCAAUGGGGGCAACCCUGACGCAGCAACGCCGCGUGAGUGAUGAAGGCCUUUGGGUCGUAAAGCUCUGUCAGAGGGAAAGAAAUGCGGGCGGCUAAUAUCCGUUCCGCUUGACGGUACCCUCAAAGGAAGCACCGGCUAACUCCGUGCCAGCAGCCGCGGUAAUACGGAGGGUGCGAGCGUUGUUCGGAAUUAUUGGGCGUAAAGCGCGUGUAGGCGGCUUAUUAAGUCUGAUGUGAAAGCCCCGGGCUCAACCUGGGAAGUGCAUUGGAUACUGGUAGGCUUGAGUACGGGAGAGGAGAGUGGAAUUCCUGGUGUAGGAGUGAAAUCCGUAGAUAUCAGGAGGAACACCGGUGGCGAAGGCGGCUCUCUGGACCGAUACUGACGCU